rnacentral:rRNA from 1 species
GAUGAACGCUGGCGGCGUGCCUAAUACAUGCAAGUCGAGCGAACAGACGAGGAGCUUGCUCCUCUGACGUUAGCGGCGGACGGGUGAGUAACACGUGGAUAACCUACCUAUAAGACUGGGAUAACUUCGGGAAACCGGAGCUAAUACCGGAUAAUAUAUUGAACCGCAUGGUUCAAUAGUGAAAGACGGUUUUGCUGUCACUUAUAGAUGGAUCCGCGCCGCAUUAGCUAGUUGGUAAGGUAACGGCUUACCAAGGCAACGAUGCGUAGCCGACCUGGGAGGGUGAUCGGCCACACUGGAACUGAGACACGGUCCAGACUCCUACGGGAGGCAGCAGUAGGGAAUCUUCCGCAAUGGGCGAAAGCCUGACGGAGCAGCGCCGCGUGAGUGAUGAAGGUCUUCGGAUCGUAAAACUCUGUUAUUAGGGAAGAACAAAUGUGUAAGUAACUAUGCACGUCUUGACGGUACCUAAUCAGAAAGCCACGGCUAACUACGUG